CCUUGCGAGUAAAGACAUCCACGGGAGGGAAAGGGAAAGCGGGAGGCAGCGAGCUAAUUACCAAAAUAACGUAACAACUUUUGGGAGUGUGCGCGCAAAACUCACUGUUUUGAAGAAGAACCCUAAGCCAACCCCAUUCAAAUCAAUUUUCUCAAGUUUCUCCCCCAGAUUUCUUCUUGUUUCUACUCUUCUCCAUGAUCCAAUUUCUUGUCCUUUCCCCUUGAUUUCAGUCUCCAUUCUCGUUUCUAUCUGUCGCACCAUUGCUUUUGUCGAUUUUUCCUUUCCUCAGAAAUGGAUAUUGAGCAGAAGCAAACCGAGUUCAUCGAUCACUUUGUAAAACAAGCUUCCUCUCUGAAAGGCUCUGCACUUGGGUCCGUUGUUACUGACGCCACUUCUCACCCUUCCCUCUUCGCCUUCUCUGAAAUUCUUGCCGUUCCCAACGUUGUCGAGUUAGAAGGAACUGAGCAUUCUAUAUAUCUUGACGUGCUGCGCUUAUUUGCAUAUGGAACAUGGAGUGAUUACAAGAGUAAUUCCAGCCGCCUUCCAGAAUUGAGCUCUGAUCAAGCCCUCAAACUAAAGCAACUUACUGUCCUCACAUUGGCUGAGACAAACAAGGUGUUGGCCUAUGACCAACUAAUGCAGGAAUUAGAUGUUACAAAUGUACGGGAACUGGAGGAUUUUCUUAUUAAUGAAUGCAUGUAUGCGGGUAUAGUUAGAGGGAAGUUGGAUCAAUUGCGAAGGUGCUUUGAGGUCCAAUUUGCUGCCGGGAGAGAUUUGAGACCGGGGCAACUUGGAAAUAUGAUACGAACACUAUCAAAUUGGUUGACUACAUCAGACAAUUUAUUGGUCUCCAUUCAAGAGAAGAUAAAAUGGGCCGAUAAUAUGAGUGAAUUGGACAAGAAACACCGAAAGGAUGUUGAUGAUAGGGUGGAAGAAGUUAAGAAAUCACUUUCCUUGAAGAAGUUACAAACUGUAAGCAGGCCAACAUUGACAUCCGAGAGCAUGAGGAGAUCUACUCUGAACCUGGUGGAGUAAUGGACUACGAAGAAGAUCGAAGUCGACCAAAGAGAAAGUGACAAAUAGUAGGAGAGAUGGCUGAGGUAGCUCAACGUAAUUGGCAUGGACUUCUUUGGAAGGAGACGACAUCCAAUUUCUUAGAGAUAUGCAUAUGGGAGUUGAAGAACAGCACAACUUCCUGUCAGACGGGUGUCCAAACAACUGCCUAUUUUUGUUGGUGGCAAGAAAAAAAGGAAGUACAAGAGUUAAACAGAUGUUGAUUUUUGGAUUUUGGAGAAAGAUGAUCUCUCUGAGCCUAUCUCUUAGACCAUGAACAUGUUGCUUUAGGUUCUUGUCUCAUAACAAUAGCUUGUCUUUAAAUUCAAUUUAAUUUUAUUGAGUUUAUUAGAGAACCAAAGAGUCAUAGAAACGCUGCCCAUUUUUCAUACACCAUGUUCUCUUCGUGUAUGCAUUGGUUGGGUUGGAAAUCUAUUUUAUGUUAUGAUUUAUGAUACUAUUAUUCGGUUUACGAUCCAGUGUUAACGAGUCAUUUGGUAACAUUACUGUUUCUUGUUUCUAGUAUAGUGUUUAACAAUCCAGUUUCUCGUUAUUUGGUUUA